rnacentral:rRNA from 1 species
GUCGUAACAAGGUUUCCGUAGGUGAACCUGCGGAAGGAUCAUUAAAUAAUUUGAGUAUGCUUAUGCAUAUUUCUAAUUUACUGUGAACUGUUUUACUGUUUAGCGUUUUGAGGGAUUGCCUAAAGAUUAUAGGGAUAGGUCUUUAGGAUGUUAACCUAGCUAAAGUCAGGCUUAGGCCUGGUAUCCUAAUUCAUUAUUUACCAAAAGAAUUCAGAAUUAAUAUUGUAACAUAAGCGUAAAAAACUUAUAAAACAACUUUUAACAACGGAUCUCUUGGUUCUCGCAUCGAUGAAGAACGUAGCAAAGUGCGAUAACUAGUGUGAAUUGCAUAUUCAGUGAAUCAUCGAGUCUUUGAACGCAUCUUGCGCUCAAUGGUAUUCCAUUGAGCACGCCUGUUUCAGUAUCAACAACAACCCACAUCCACAAUUUUGUUGUGAAUGGAAGUGAGAAUUUCGGACUUGCGCUGAAUUCUUUAAAAUUAUUAGGCCUGAACUAUUGUUCUUUUAGCCUGAACAUUUUUUUAAUAUAAAGGAAUGCUCUAGUUAUUAAGACUGUCUUGGGGGCCUCCCAAAUAAAUCAUUUUUUAAACUUGAUCUGAAAUCAGGUGGGAUUACCCGCUGAACUUAAGCAUAUCA